rnacentral:rRNA from 1 species
GGCCCGCACAAGCGGUGGAGUAUGUGGUUUAAUUCGAUGCAACGCGAAGAACCUUACCAGGGUUUGACAUCCUGCGAACCUCUUGGAAACGAGAGGGUGCCUUCGGGAACGCAGUGACAGGUGGUGCAUGGCUGUCGUCAGCUCGUGUCGUGAGAUGUUGGGUUAAGUCCGGCAACGAGCGCAACCCCUGUCGUUAGUUGCCAUCAAUUCGGUUGGGCACUCUAGCGAGACUCCCGGUGUUAAGCCGGCGGAAGAUGGGGAUGACGUCAAGUCCUCAUGGCCCUUAUGUCUGGGGCUACACACGUACUACAAUGGCAUUUACAGAGGGCAGCAAUACGGCAACGUGGAGCCAAUCCCAAAAAGAAUGCCUCAGUUCGGAUUGGAGUCUGCAACUCGACUCCAUGAAGUUGGAAUCGCUAGUAAUCGCGGAUC